UACGGAGGUGGCAAGCGUUGCUCGGAAUCACUGGGCGUAAAGGGCGCGUAGGCGGGGAGGUAAGUCGGGUGUGAAGUCCCUCGGCCCAACCGAGGAACUGCGCCCGAGACUGCUUCUCUUGAGUCCCGGAGAGGAAGAUGGAAUUCCCGGUGUAGCGGUGAAAUGUGUAGAGAUCGGGAGGAACACCAGUGGCGAAGGCGACUACCUGGCCUGUUCUUAACGCUGAGGCGCGAAAGCUAGGGGAGCAAACGGG
rnacentral:rRNA from 1 species